rnacentral:rRNA from 1 species
AAAGGGUGUGUAGGCGGGUAUUUAAGUCAGUGGUGAAAUCUCCGAGCUCAACUCGGAAACUGCCAUUGAUACUAUUUAUCUUGAAUAUUGUUGAGGUAGGCGGAAUAUGUCAUGUAGCGGUGAAAUGCUUAGAUAUGACAUAGAACACCGAUUGCGAAGGCAGCUUGCUAAACAAUUAUUGACGCUGAGGCACGAAAGCGUGGGGAUCAAACAGGAUUAGAUACCCUAGU